rnacentral:rRNA from 1 species
UACAGAGGUCCCAAGCGUUGUUCGGAUUCAUUGGGCGUAAAGGGUGCGUAGGCGGCGCGGUAAGUCGGAUGUGAAAUCUCGGAGCUUAACUCCGAAACUGCAUUCGAUACUGCCGUGCUUGAGGACUGGAGAGGAGACUGGAAUUUACGGUGUAGCGGUGAAAUGCGUAGAUAUCGUAAGGAAGACCAGUGGCGAAGGCGGGUCUCUGGACAGUUCCUGACGCUGAGGCACGAAGGCCAGGGGAGCAAACGGG